AGAGAUUAAACUGAAGAGUUUGAUCCUGGCUCAGAUUGAACGCUGGCGGCAUGCCUUACACAUGCAAGUCGAACGGCAGCACGGAGCUUGCUCUGGUGGCGAGUGGCGAA
rnacentral:rRNA from 1 species